CCUCCGAAGUUUCCCUUAGGAUAGUUGGAGCCCACCGACGAGUUCUAUCGGGUAAAGCCAAUGAUUAGAGGCAUCAGGGGCGCAAUGCUCUCGACCUUUUCUCAAACUUUAAAUAUGUAGGACGACGCGACUGCUCCGUUGAGCCGCGCCACAGAAUCGAAAGCUCCAAGUGGACUAAUUUUGGUAAGCAGAACUGGCGAUGAGGAAUGAACCAGAACCUAGGUUACGGUGUCCAUCUGCGCGCUAACCUAGAAUCCACAAAGGGUGUUGGUCGAUUAAGACAACAAAACGAUGGUAAUGGAAGUCGAAAUCCGCUAAGGAGGGUAUAACAACUCACCUGCCGAAUCAAUUAGCCCCGAAAAUAGAUGGCGCUGAAACGCGCGACCCCCACCUAACCGUCAGGGCAAUCGUUAUAUUAUCUAAUUAAUUAUUGAUCCUCUAACAUUUACAAGUUGUAGG
rnacentral:ncRNA from 1 species